rfam:Dipodomys ordii contig_18053, whole genome shotgun sequence.
GGGAAGGUGGCUCAGUGGUAGAGUACUUGUCUUACAUGCAUGAGGUCCUGGGUUUGAUUCCUCAGCACCCCA